ACGGCUACAACCAUGGAGACGUCUGCCUUUGGGGCAGCAGGCCAUAGUUUUCAGUUUUCAAACCCUGGUAUGAUCAGGAGAAUCCCACAGAACUUGGGACGUGAUGAGCGGGCACCUUUCCCAACCUGCUGAUCUACAAACACAGUCCACACGGAAAGAAGCCAAAAAGCGUAAUGACAGUGAUGUUGAUGAAGAACAAGUCAACAUCCCUUCACACUCUGAUGCCCUCAGUGCACUGGAAAUCACUUCACAGUGAUCUGAAGGACAAGAAAGCGAUGCCGUGCACCACACUGCAGCUUUA